rnacentral:snRNA from 1 species
AGCUUUGCGCAGUGGCAGUAUCAUAGCCAAUGAGGUUUAUCCAAGGUGCAAUUAUUGCUAAUUGAAAACUUUUUCCAAUACCCUGCCAUGAUGACUUGAAGAGUGAGUCAAUAGGAAAA